rnacentral:rRNA from 1 species
CAGCAGCCGCGGGAAUACAGAGGGUGCGAGCGUUAAUCGGAAUUACUGGGCGUAAAGGGCGCGUAGGCGGUUAGGAAGGUGUGAUGUGAAAGCCCUGGGCUUAACCUAGGAAGUGCAUCGCAAACCAACUAGCUGGAGUAUAAGAGAGGGUGGCGGAAUUUCCGGUGUAGCGGUGAAAUGCGUAGAGAUCGGAAGGAACGUCAAUGGCGAAGGCAGCCACCUGGCUUAAUACUGACGCUGAGGCGCGAAAGCGUGGGGAGCGAACAGGAUUAGAGACCCCAGUAGUCCCUGUCUCUUAUAC